rnacentral:rRNA from 1 species
AAUCAACGCUGGCGGCGUGCCUAACACAUGCAAGUCGAACGCGAAAGUCCCGAAAGGGAUAAGUAGAGUGGCAAACGGGUGAGUAACGCGUGGGUGACCUGCCUUCGAGCGGGGGAUAACGUUCCGAAAGGGACGCUAAUACCGCAUAACAUCCUGCCUUUGAAGAGGUGGAGAUCAAAGCUGGGGAUUCGCAAGAACCCGGCACUUGAAGAGGGGCUCGCGUCUGAUUAGCUGGUUGGUGAGGUAACGGCUCACCAAGGCAUCGAUCAGUAUCCGGCCUGAGAGGGCGGACGGACACACUGGGACUGAGACACGGCCCAGACUCCUACGGGAGGCAGCAGUGGGGAAUUGUUCGCAAUGGGCGCAAGCCUGACGACGCAACGCCGCGUGGAGGAUGAAGAUUUUCGGAUCGUAAACUCCUGUCGAAUGGGACGAAAAGGUCGCGGGUCUAAUACUCCGUGGUCCUGACGGUACCGUUAAAAGGAAAACCCCGGUUAAACUCCGUGCCAGCAGCCGCCGCGGUAAC